rnacentral:lncRNA from 1 species
AUCAAAAUGUAAGUUGUAAUUUAGCCUCUGAUAUUAGUGUUAAAUAUUCUAUUCCUGUAAGAUGUCUCGCAUUACCCGUGUCACCCCCCAAAUUAUUUAGGUGAUUCUAAAAUGGACAAAAGGUCAUCAGUCAAUCACAGCAAAGUUUCCACUGAUGAGCCAGAGCUUUGGUGUUACUCUUGUUUUUAAAUUAGCAGCUGUCAAGCAUAUUAGCAUACUAGAACAGAGGUAAGUGUCCAACCCCAUCUUCAAGAAUCUUGCUUCCCAGUUGCCUUGAAUUUUGGGAAUAGUGAUUAUAAAUGUCCAAUUUAAUUAUUUGGUAUUUUAUUUGACUGUUUUGACCACUUCAUUUUAAAGCAGCAUUUUUAACAGCACUUUUUGUUGGUGGUGUGGAAUUUCUGCGGUUACUUUUUUUUCUUUGCAAUGAGUAAAGC